rnacentral:rRNA from 1 species
GAAGAUUCCGGACCGUGGCUCGCGUGCU